CCAAUAUUAUUAGUGAAACUUACCCAAAAAAUCGGUAAAAUUUACUGAUGUUCUGAAAACAUCGGCUUUACCUAUAUUUGAGUAAUCGCAUUUACCCAUAUUUGGGUGAAAAAAUAAAGAUAAACAAAUUCGACCGACAUCGCAGUAGUUUGUCUCUUGUUUCGUCGAAGUUGAGAAUAUGUAAUCGAUCAGAAAGUUCUUCAUGUAAGGCCGAAUAUAAGGUUGGAACUUCUCAACUAUAUCUUUUCAAAAUCAUCAGAUCAGCAGCACCUCCUCGUUAUCGGCGAAUGACGAACAAUCGCAGGCAGCAGGACCGGAAGCUAGUUCCAGAUCCGUAGGCGGAAUACUUCUGCUGACAGCUGCGAAUCUCUGACCACUUAGAAUAUUCUUAAGAGGUACCAAUGGAAUCGAUAAUUCCUCCAACCGUCUAACAACUCCAACGGGAAUGUUCGCUCCAAUCUGCAUGUUUCUCAUCCUGUUCCCGAUAAAUAACCGUACUUGGAGUUGGAAGUUGCUGGAUGACGAGGAGAAAAGGGAAAGGAAAAAACAGGCGACUUAAACGGAACGUGAACGCUGUCAUUUCUUUUUGUACCAAGAACUAAUUCCUAGCUGCUAUUGGAUGCUGCUACUAAAAUAACAAUCGGAUUUCAGAUUUUUUGAAUUGGAGGCAUCUAUGCGGUCAGUCGCAACUAUUCAAUCGGAUCAUUCAGCAUUCAGCAUAUCUGCGUCCGGGAGAGUUACCAUCCGCCAGCUGUCACCAGUUGCAUAAUAGCAUGCCGUUCCGCACCGCUUACUCCACCACACCACACUGACCCGUAGCUGCUGCUGAAGAAUGUUACGGUUCGUUCGGGAUUCCAGAAUGGCAGAACUUCCACACUGAACUUCCUCACUGACACGAAGCUGCUGCCGAUGCUGCUGCUGAAGGAUGUUCCGGUUAGUUCGGGAUUUGCUGCCAUCAGCCACUGUUAUAUUAGUAAUGCAACCAGCAAAAUGAAAGUUGAGGAAUAAAAUUCAAACUAUUUUAUGAAAAACGCGGUAGUUAAAAUAAUAAAAUAAUUUGCAUGUAUAUAACCAAUCAAAUAUUUUACUUAUAUUUAUAAGAAUAAUUUUUAUUCAAUAAUAUUUUCAAAACAAGAACAGGAAAAUAUCACCCAUAUUUAGGUGAAUUUCACCUAUAACAGAAUACUCAUAAAUAGGUAAACAUUACCAAAAUUCCCAUGAACCACUUGUACUCAAAUAUGGAUAAAUGGUACUUCACCCAUAAAUAGGUAUGUGCACUUUUUCGAGAUUAUAGGUACUGUUUACCCAUAUUUGAGUGAACUGAACUAAGCGUGUGCAUAAGACUGCCGACACGAAAAGUUGAUUGAAGUUAAAGUGAGAAU